rnacentral:rRNA from 1 species
CCUACGGGAGGCUGCAGUGAGGAAUAUUGGUCAAUGGGCGAGAGCCUGAACCAGCCAAGUCGCGUGAGGGAGUACUGCCCUAUGGGUUGUAAACCUCUUUUGUCGGGGAGCAAAAGCCGGACGUGUCCGGCUGUGAGAGUACCCGAAGAAAAAGCAUCGGCUAACUCCGUGCCAGCAGCCGCGGUCAUACGGGGGAUGCGAGCGUUAUCCGGAUUUAUUGGGUUUAAAGGGUGCGCAGGCGGAUUUUUAAGUCAGCGGUAAAAUCGUGGGGCUCAACCCCAUCCAGCCGUUGAAACUGGGGAUCUAGAGUGUGCGAGAGGUAUGCGGAAUGCGUGGUGUAGCGGUGAAAUGCAUAGAUAUCACGCAGAACCCCGAUUGCGAAGGCAGCAUACCGGUGCACAACUGACGCUCAGGCACGAAGGCGUGGGUAUCGAACAGGAUUAGAUACCCCAGUAGUC